rnacentral:lncRNA from 1 species
CGGCCGCGACCGCCCCUGGUUCACUCAGGAUCAACCACGCCAACCAUACGGGCUCCAAUCAUACCUACCUGAAAAACGCCUACAGCAAGCCAAAGCUCUGCGAGCCCGAAGAGGAACUUCUCCAGCAGUUUAAACGUGAGGAGGUGUCUCCGACGGGGAGUUUCAGUGCUCACUACCUGUCGAUGUUCCUCCUAACUGCAGCCUGCUUAUUUUUCCUAAUAUUGGGACUGACUUACCUAGGAAUGAGAGGGACAGGAGUACCCGAGGACGGAAGACUCUGCAAGUGAAAAAAAUCUUAUGAUGAGCACAUUAUACAAACUUCAUGAUCGAUUGGCUCAGAUUGCAGGAGAUCAUGAAUGUGGCCGUUCCAGCCAAAGGAUGCUUUCUGUCCAAGAAGCAGCUGCAUAUUUAAAAG